CUCAUAAAGUGACAUUUUCAUGCCAUGGGACCUUUAAUCUACAUCCUACAAAGGUUUGAAAACACUCAAAUGCUAUUAAAGGGAAGAUGCUUUAAUCUAAUUAACCUCAGGUAUGAAUCAUUGCCUUUGGUUAAUUAACCCAAAUGUCAAAUGAGGUACCAGAACAUCCCAGAAUAACAAGAAUUCUUCUUUUUCUUCUGUGAGCCAUUUUUUUAUUAUAAAAAAAAAUGUGUUUGACAUCUGCUAUGUUGUAGGAACCCAGGAAAUCCUUCUCUCUGGGCUCUUCUCUCCAGACUGGUCCCACAGUACUGCCCCAACAAAGCCAAAGGAGGUGCUGUGGCUGGCAGUGUGGCGUGUCAUGCCAGCUUGACGCUUGGAAAGAGGGCGUUGCUGUAC